CAGUAGCCGCGGGAAUACGAAGGGGGCUAGCGUUGUUCGGAAUUACUGGGCGUAAAGCGCACGCAGGCGGCUCGAUAAAUUAGAAGUGAAAGCCUUGGGCUUAACCUGAGAAUUGCUUUUAAGACUGUCGAGCUAGAAUCCAGAAGAGGGUAGUGGAAUUCCGAGUGUAGAGGUGAAAUUCGUAGAUAUUCGGAAGAACACCAGUGGCGAAGGCGACACACUGGCUCAUUACUGACGCUGAGGCUCGAGAGCGUGGGGAGCAAACAGGAUUAGAGACCCCUGUAGUCCCUGUCUCUUAUAC
rnacentral:rRNA from 1 species